CAUACGAAACCGGGCUUAAAUAACUUCCUUUCUCUCACCACGACCAGAAUUCUGGUUCCUUUCUCUCUUGGCUGGCGAUUUCUAGCAAUUGAGAAACAGCGCCGAACGAUUUUUGGUCUGUUGCACUCUUUUGAUGAACUUGGUAUUGGGAAUUUGGGAUACUCAAUCAAGGGAGGUCUGUAGUAUUUAUUACUAAGUUGCUAUUUCCAACAGUUCUAUGCCUUCUCUCAGAAGAUAAAUUUCUCACUACAAGCAAUGGCUCAAAUGGACGGGAUUUACAAAAACAGAAUAGCAACAUUUCUGCGGGCAUUGUAUGCAUCAAAAUAUGCUAAGGAAGAUAACAUUCCAUGCCAACUUGAAGAGGGUCUCUUCCUAGGUUCUGUUGGGGUUGCAUAUAACAAGGAUGCCUUGAAGGGGUUGAAUGUUACUCAUAUAUUAACAGUGGCGAAAUCUUUGGAGCCUGCAUAUCCAGACGAUUUCAUAUACAAGAAAAUUGAAGUGCUUGACAGCCCAGAUACAAAUUUAGAGCAGCAUUUUGACGAGUGCUUUGAUUUCAUCGAUGAAGCUAAAAGAGCAGGUGGUGGCGUGUUAGUUCAUUGUUUUGCUGGAAGAUCAAGGAGUGUCACAGUUGUUGUUGCAUACUUGAUGAAAAAGCAUCAAAUGAGUCUAUCUCAGGCUUUGGACCUUGUUAGGAGUAAAAGGCCCCAAAUAGCUCCUAAUCAUGGUUUUAUUUUACAACUACAAAACUUCCAGAAAUCCCUUGGAGUGGUAUUAGGUAGUUGCCUUCCAUGGAAGUUGUGAGAGGAAUGGUCACAUAGAUUCAAGACAGAGAGGCGAUGAGACAUAAUUAUGCUAAUAAAGUACAAGGAACAGUAUGGUUACUCUCUCGACAUGUUUUCUACCUGGCCAUUCAUCUCGUGUGUGCAUUGUGAGCAAGUCUAGGACCAAAAAUCAGUGAAGCGAGAUUCAGAAAGAAAGUGAUUUGAUGUGGAAAGACUGCUCCAGUCGCACGGCAAUCGGGGCGAAACUACAAGGAGUUUGAGGUAGAAAUUGCAAUCAAGGGCACUUUUAGCUAAUUCAAACUGCCAUUUUAUUAUACUUUUCCAGAAAACUAGUAGGGAACUGCAUGUGUUGCAUGCAAGUACAUACGUGCAAGAUCCAAGUUGUUAAGGAUGGUCUUGCCAUAAAAUCAGGAUGGUCUAAUGUUUCCCAUCCUGCAUGCUGGUAUUGGUAGAUUUC